rnacentral:rRNA from 1 species
AUUGAACGCUGGCGGCAGGCCUAACACAUGCAAGUCGAACGAGUGGCGGACGGGUGAGUAAUGUCUGGGAAACUGCCCGAUGGAGGGGGAUAACUACUGGAAACGGUAGCUAAUACCGCAUACCAUCGGAUGUGCCCAGAUGGGAUUAGCUAGUAGGUGGGGUAACGGCUCACCUAGGCGACGAUCCCUAGCUGGUCUGAGAGGAUGACCCGCCACACUGGGACGGAGACAAGGUCCAGGCUCCUUCGGGAGGCGGCAGGGGGGAAUUUUUCACAAUGGGCGCAAGCCUGAUGCAGCCAUGCCGCGUGUAUGAAGAAGGGCUUCCGGUUGUAAAGUACUUUCAGCGGGGAGGCGUUACUUGCAGAAGAAGCACCGGCUAACUCCGUGCCAGCAGCCGCGGUAAUAC